CAAGGUGGUAAAGACACUCUUAUCAAAUCAGUAGCAUUAGCAUCGCCUAUCCACGCGAUGUCUUGCUUCAGAUUUCCUAAGACCACAUGUGAAUCCUUGAACAGUGCUAUGGCAAACUUUUGGUGGAACUCCUCAGAAGAUAAAAAGAAAGGUACAUUGGAUUGGUUGGGACAGAAUGUGCGUAUCAAAACAAGAGGGACGACUAGGGUUUCGAGACAUUAAAGUUUUUAACCAGGCGCUUUUGGCCAAGCGAGCAUGGAAUAUUCUACAAAACCCUCAAAGCUUAUUCUCUCAGGUGAUGAAGAGCAAGUAUUUUGAAAACGAUCAAUUUCUCUCAGCUCCUCUCACUUCGAAGCCUUCCUUUGCUUGGCGAAGUAUACUUCACGGCCGUGAUCUCCUAAAAAAAGGUCUGUAUAGAAUGGUUGGCAACGGCUCUUCUAUUAAAGUUUGGACUGAGGCUUGGAUUAGGGAUGUAAAUAUGAAAGCACCGCUGAUAAAGAAUCCAGUUAUUGAUAUUGAUCUCUUGAUAUCAAGUGCAUUCUGCAAACAAGACCAGUUGUUUUCAAAGAUGAUUUCUGGGUUUGGGGACAUAACAGAAGUGGGGAGUAUUCUGUGAAAUCAGGCUACUGGUUGCAAAAUCAAAUUACCAACUCUCAGCUUAAGUUUGAAGCUUCUGUGAUGCCCUCGUUAAAUCAUCUAAAAUCAGAGGGGGAUGAAAGUGGAUUCAAGGUGUCGCUUUUCCCUCAACCGCUUACAGAAGUUUUUUCAAGGUCUGUGUUCUCAAAUUUUUACCAUCUUCUAAAAGCAAGCAAAUCAAAAUCCUUGCCUUCAGGAAUUGCUCGAAUGUGUCCUCGGAUACUUUGGCAUAUCUGGACAGGAAGAAAUGCUCUAGUUUUUGAAGGUAAAGGUUUUUGUCCUUUACAAUCUCUUAAAAUAAUUAAGGAAGAUGUAGACCUAUGGUUUUUAGCUCAGAGGGUAGAAGUUGAGAUUGAGGAAUGUCAGUCUUUGUAAAAGAGAUUUGGUACUAAAAAAUGGUUACCUCCUCCUCCUUUAUGGGUAAAAUGUAAUUUUGCUUAUUCUUGGGCUAAACAAAAGAAGAUUGCUGGAAUUUCAUGGGUUCUCAGAAAUCAUAGAGGUGUUGUCCUCUUGCAUAGUCGCCACUCUAUAGCUCACAUAGAUAAUAUUGAUGAGGCUAAACUUCAAUGUUUUCUAUGGGCUAUUAACAGUAUGGCCAGUCUAAAAUUGUCGCGUGUUGUUUUUGGCUCUGAGGCCACUGACUUGAUAGGCUCAGUGACUCGUCCAAAAGCGUGGCCAUCUUUUGCAUAUCAAGCUUCGGAGAUCAGAAUUGCAUUGGCUAAUAUUGAUAACUGGAGUCUGCAUUCUGAGGUAUCUGAUACUAAUCAAGGUGCAAAGCUCAUUGCUCAAAGUGCUUCUUUUGGAGCUAGGUUGCAUUCUUAUGUGGCCAGAAGUUAUCCUUUUUGGCUCAAAGAAACUUUUGAACAUGAUGUUGCUUUCUCGUAACUGGUU